CGUCUAAUCAACAAAAUAAUCAGUGAAGUAUCUUUGAUGAUUUUAUCAUAUAUUUUUUUAAUUAGUUUACUUUACUAUACCUUCACACACAUGCUAGAGUAUUAUGAACUCUUGAAAAACCCAACUCCAGCUCAUAGUUGUGGUAGUUUAAUUCGUAUGUAGCCAAUGUGAACGUGCUGGCUUGACAUCUCGUUAGCUAUCAAGCAUACAUGCAGACAGACUUACCUUCUACGAUUUAUUACGUAACUGGACUUACUGCUCAACAAUACAACAUGCACAACAUUACCUGAUGUAUAUAAUCACGUAU
rnacentral:lncRNA from 1 species